AUUGAACGCUGGCGGCAGGCCUAACACAUGCAAGUCGAGCGGAUGAAGGGAGCUCGCUCCUGGAUUCAGCGGCGGACGGGUGAGUAAUGCCUAGGAAUCUGCCUGGUAGUGGGGGAUAACGUCCGGAAACGGGCGCUAAUACCGCAUACGUCCUGAGGGAGAAAGUGGGGGAUCUUCGGACCUCACGCUAUCAGAUGAGCCUAGGUCGGAUUAGCUAGUUGGUGGGGUAAAGGCCUACCAAGGCGACGAUCCGUAACUGGUCUGAGAGGAUGAUCAGUCACACUGGAACUGAGACACGGUCCAGACUCCUACGGGAGGCAGCAGUGGGGAAUAUUGGACAAUGGGCGAAAGCUUGAUCCAGCCAUGCCGCGUGUGUGAAGAAGGUCUUCGGAUUGUAAAGCACUUUAAGUUGGGAGGAAGGGCAGUAAGUUAAUACCUUGCUGUUUUGACGUUACCAACAGAAUAAGCACCGGCUAACUUCGUG
rnacentral:rRNA from 1 species